GACGAACGCUGGCGGCGUGCUUAACACAUGCAAGUCGAACGGAAAGGCCCUGCUUUUGUGGGGUGCUCGAGUGGCGAACGGGUGAGUAACACGUGAGUAACCUGCCCUUGACUUUGGGAUAACUUCAGGAAACUGGGGCUAAUACCGGAUAGGAGCUCCUGCUGCAUGGUGGGGGUUGGAAAGUUUCGGCGGUUGGGGAUGGACUCGCGGCUUAUCAGCUUGUUGGUGGGGUAGUGGCUUACCAAGGCUUUGACGGGUAGCCGGCCUGAGAGGGUGACCGGCCACAUUGGGACUGAGAUACGGCCCAGACUCCUACGGGAGGCAGCAGUGGGGGAUAUUGCACAAUGGGCGGAAGCCUGAUGCAGCAACGCCGCGUGCGGGAUGACGGCCUUCGGGUUGUAAACCGCUUUCGCCUGUGACGAAGCGUGAGUGACGGUAAUGGGUAAAGAAGCACCGGCUAACUACGUG
rnacentral:rRNA from 1 species